UGGCGGACGGGUGAGUAAUGUCUGGGAAACUGCCUGAUGGAGGGGGAUAACUACUGGAAACGGUAGCUAAUACCGCAUAACGUCGCAAGACCAAAGAGGGGGACCUCCGGGCCUCUUGCCAUCGGAUGUGCCCAGAUGGGAUUAGCUAGUAGGUGGGGUAACGGCUCACCUAGGCGACGAUCCCUAGCUGGUCUGAGAGGAUGACCAGCCACACUGGAACUGAGACACGGUCCAG
rnacentral:rRNA from 1 species